rnacentral:guide_RNA from 1 species
AUAUAAAUCCAAUAAAAUGAAAUAGAAUCUGAGAGACUAUGAUUUAU